CUCGAGAGAGUUUGAUCAUGGCUCAGAAGAACGCGGGCGGCGGGCCUAACACAUGCAAGUCGCACGAGAAAGACACUGGUUGCAGGGGCGAGUAAAGUGGCGCACGGGUGAGUAACGCGUGGUUAAUCUACCCUUGGGUUUGUCCACCACGUCCCGAAAGGGGCGCUAAUACCGGAUAAGACCACGGUGUCCACGGGGACUGUGGGAAAAAGGGGGCCUCUCUUUCUUGUAUGCUUCSUGCCUGAGGAUGACCCCGCGUCCCUUUAGCUUGUUGGUGAGGUAACGGCUCACCAAGGCCGCGAUGGGUAGCUGAUCUGAGAGGAUGAUCAGCCACACUGGGACUGGAACACGGCCCAAACUCCUACGGGAGGCAGCAGUGAGGAAUCUUGCGCAAUGGGGGAAACCCUGACGCAGCCACGCCGCGUGGGUGAAGAAGGCCUUCGGGUUGUAAAGCCCUGUCAGGUGGGAAGAACCGCAGUCUGGCCAAUACCUGGACUGCUUGACGGUACCACCAAAGGAAGCACCGGCUAACUCCGUGCCAGCAGCCGCGGUAAUACGGAGGGUGCAAGCGUUGUUCGGAAUUACUGGGCGUAAAGCGCGUGUAGGCGAACCGGUAAGUUGGGAGUGAAAGCCCUGGGGCUCACCCAAGGAAGUGCUUCCAAUACUGCCCGGCCUUGAGUUCCGGAGUGGGUGGUGGAAAUUCCCGGUGUAGAGGUGAAAUUCGUUAGAUAUCGGGAGGAACACCAGUGGCGAAG
rnacentral:rRNA from 1 species